rnacentral:misc_RNA from 1 species
GAAUCAAACACAAAUUGAUUUUCUCAAACCCAUAUAUUUGGAAGAAUAAAAGGUUAGAGUUAAGUAAAUUGAAAUUGAUGCAGCUUGCCAAUUCAUCUGUGCAGAAAGACUCCACUUUAAGUGCUCCACUUACAAUAACUAAAAUAUCCCCAACUGUUUUUUUUAUUUUCAUUGUAUCAAGGUCAAUACAGAGACUAGAAAUAUUGAUUUGCAAAAUUCUCAAUCUAAAUAUUGAGGAUGAUUGAUUUUCACAAGUGCUCUAGCCCUAUCUUACGCAAAUAAAUUUUUUUUAGGUUCUUGGAUGUCAUAUUUUCCUUUUUCAUUGUCUAGAACAUCAAAAUUCAUUUGGCAGGAAACUUCCAAUCUUUUCCAAGGAAAUUAUCAUCAUUAGUUGAAAGAAACAAUUUAGAGUUAAUUCUUGUCAUUCUAAGAGGGAUGUUAAAUGCACAAUAACAAUGAGCUCUAAGAUCUUUCAAGAGCAUUCUCAUGGUACAAAAAACUUCUGUGCCUUGAAAAGUCACACAGAUGCCACACUAACCUCAUCGAGUUCCAAAAUUGCAAGUGUAUUGAUUUGAGAAUCAACAAAUGCUCAAAAUUUACUAGCACAUAUUUAAACUAUACAAUUAUACUUUUGUAUGGUAAGAAAAAAUGCACUGGCUAAAGAAUUUGACCAAGCUUUCCAAACCUAAUCACAAUAUGGUAAUUCUACUUAGGCCUGGCCAUGGGCCAGUUCCAGUUUGGAACCAGAUCUGAAUUGGCAGUUCCGGUUCACUGGGGUAUGAACCUGAACUGGCCCCAAAGGUCCUGAUUCUGAUUCAAGUUCCGGUUUGGUCCGAUUCAAUCCGGUUUUAAUUAAACCCAACGAUACAUUUUUUUCAAACUUUUUUAUUAUUUUAAAUUUAAAAAAAAAAAAUAGUAUCCA